rnacentral:rRNA from 1 species
UUUUAUGGAGAGUUUGAUCCUGGCUCAGGAUGAACGCUGGCGGCGUGCCUAAUACAUGCAAGUCGAGCGAACGGACGAGAAGCUUGCUUCUCUGAUGUUAGCGGCGGACGGGUGAGUAACACGUGGAUAACCUACCUAUAAGACUGGGAUAACUUCGGGAAACCGGAGCUAAUACCGGAUAAUAUUUUGAACCGCAUGGUUCAAAAGUAAAAGACGGUCUUGCUGUCACUUAUAGAUGGAUCCGCGCUGCAUUAGCUAGUUGGUAAGGUAACGGCUUACCAAGGCAACGAUGCAUAGCCGACCUGAGAGGGUGAUCGGCCACACUGGAACUGAGACACGGUCCAGACUCCUACGGGAGGCAGCAGUAGGGAAUCUUCCGCAAUGGGCGAAAGCCUGACGGAGCAACGCCGCGUGAGUGAUGAAGGUCUUCGGAUCGUAAAACUCUGUUAUUAGGGAAGAACAUAUGUGUAAGUAACUGUGCACAUCUUGACGGUAC